UGGGGAAUAUUGCACAAUGGGCGCAAGCCUGAUGCAGCCAUGCCGCGUGUAUGAAGAAGGCCUUCGGGUUGUAAAGUACUUUCAGCGGGGAGGAAGGGAGUAAAGUUAAUACCUUUACUCAUUGACGUUACCCGCAGAAGAAGCACCGGCUAACUCCGUGCCAGCAGCCGCGGUAAUACGGAGGGUGCAAGCGUUAAUCGGAAUUACUGGGCGUAAAGCGCACGCAGGCGGUCUGUCAAGUCGGAUGUGAAAUCCCCGGGCUCAACCUGGGAACUGCAUUCGAAACUGGCAGGGUAGAGUCUUGUAGAGGGGGGUAGAAUUCCAGGUGUAGCGGUGAAAUGCGUAGAGAUCUGGAGGAAUACCGGUGGCGAAGGCGGCCCCCUGGACAAAGACUGACGCUCAGGUGCGAAAGCGUGGGGAGCAAACAGG
rnacentral:rRNA from 1 species